UACGGUCACAUUAUGUUGAAACACCGGUCCCCGUACGACCACUGAAGUUAAGCAACAUUAAGACUGGUCAGUACCUAGAUGGGUGACUGCUUGCGAAUAUAAUGUGU